GAUGCAUCUCUUCGUUGAGCGAUCGAGACAGCGCGACGGAGAUCGUCCGACGAGAGGGCAAUUCCAUCGCCUCAAAUGGAGCUUCCACUAAUUCGAUCUCUUUCAAGAAACAAGAAAGAAGAACGUUGAUUGCCCUAGUUCGAUCUUAGGAUCCAUCUUUCUCCUUUCGCAGCUCGGUUGUGACCACCAAAUCCCUCGCGGCGCCCGUCAAAUCAGCCAUCGACAAGAUCCAGCUCCGCGCCGCCUUCUUGGGGGUGCGAGGGCUGGUGAAGCAACCCAUCGAUUCUUUUCAUUACUUCGUCAACCAUGAAAUCAAGAACAUGAAAGCCAUCGAUCUCCUCGUCUGCCGUCAUGAGCCCAGCUUCUAUCACAGCAAAACACACGACGUAACUCUUAAAACACUUAGUUCUUUGAUUUUCUUUGGUUUUUAACGAAUCGAUCAAUUUUUUCUUCUCUUUUUUCUUAUAUUGUGGAUUUUUUUUAUUUACGUUCACCGACAUUGAAUUCGGAGAGCCUUCAGAAGGUGUGGAUUUCUCCA